rnacentral:lncRNA from 1 species
UUCAUUUUAUGUAAUGUUUGAUGAUCAUCCUGUGCAUUAAUUAAAACGUACACAAUAAAUCCCUUUUUUUUAUUUUUUUUAUGAGAGUUGGUUGUGUGUAGAAAUAUUAAAUUUUGCACCUCCAAAAUUGAAGACUAGGUAUUGUAUUUAUCUGAUUGGCAACGGGUGGCCACAAUCGAAACAACAGGUAUGGAAACAGAGCACGUGGUCCUCUCAUGCCAAUUUUAUGAUCAUUAUGCAAUAGUCUGCAGUUACCAUGUUGCUCGGCCCCAUAUAAUACACGUACGACAAAUUUAUUAUUCAUUUUUCUAAAUUCUUUUGCUUUUAUGCAAAUAUACUACUACUAUUAUUUUAGAAAAGUGUCAAAAUGAAUGAAUAUAUUACCAAAAAUUGUAAGUUUUAGGGAGAAGUUUACUAUUAAUAAAUAGUCUGUAAUGAUAGAAAUAUUAUAGGUUAAUUUAUUAUUCAUUAAGAGUGUGUUCUAUGUGGUUCUAAAUAUAUCAUUAGAAAAAAUGAGAAAUAAUCAAAAUUUCACCCUUUAAAUCCUUCCUUUGUUUUUUUCAUUUCCUAUUUGAUCCGUACUCAUUCCUCCUUUUCACUACACAUGAGGGAUAUAUAAUAUUAUCACACCAAAAUUGGAGAAAUAAUAUUAUCCCUCCUUUGUAGUGAAAAAGAGGAGGAUCAAGUAGGAAAUGUCCCUUAUAAUAUUAUUACUAAUGUAGCUUAGUUUUGAAAAAUAGCCUUUGCUUGAAAAUUAUGUUUCAGUUUCAAAUAAAAGUUAAUUUAUUCAUAUAACUUGUUAAGAACUAUAAAAUUUUUCUCAAGAGUGAGUGGAUGAUAUAGUUAAAAAUAGUGUAGUGAAUUUUACAUUCUUUUCAAAUCGUUAUGAAACGCAAAAGAAGAUGACCGUUACCUAUUCAAGAUGGGGAGGUAAUAUUCAUUAAUACCGUUAUGUAUAGGAAUGUGUGCAUUUAUUAUUUAAUACUAUUGUUUUAUCUAAUAAACUUAUUAGAUGCGGCAUAUUCAAUAUUCUAGAAUGCACCACACAAUUUAGAUAUAAAUGUAUGAGCACCGGUGCACGUGCAAGUGGUAAAUCGCUCAUAGAAUUAAUAGUUGAUGGAUAGGCCAAUCAUACAAUAAUUAAUCUAAUUUAUCUCAAGUUAAGUGAUACAAGUAACCUAGCUAACAAUAAUUGAUCUCAUACAACUGUUACCUAGCCUACUUGUAUCACAUAUCAAUCAACAGUUUGAUAAGGAACAUAAAUAUUUUUGUGGUACUUGCUGCUAGCCUGUAUGGAUUAAUACUUUAUUGCUGCUGUAUGGAUUUUUUUUUUGAGAGCCAAAGGAAACUUUCAUAAAAAUUACGGAUAGUUCACAUCAGGAGGAAGCUUCCUGGACCCUAGCAGAGAAAAAAGGCAAAGCANUACAUAAACUUAUUAGAUGCGGCAUAUUCAAUAUUCUAGAAUGCACCACACAAUUUAGAGAUAAAUGUAUGAGCACCGGUGCACGUGCAAGUGGUAAAUCGCUCAUAGAAUUAAUAGUUGAUGGAUAGGCCAAUCAUACAAUAAUUAAUCUAAUUUAUCUCAAGUUAAGUGAUACAAGUAGCCUAGCUAACAAUAAUUGAUCUCAUACAACUGUUACCUAGCCUACUAGUAUCACAUAUGACAUAUCCAUCAACAGUUUGAUAAGGAACAUAAAUAUUUUUGUGGUACUUGCUGCUAGCCUGUAUGGAUUAAUACUUUAUUGCUGCUGUAUGGAUUAAUGAUGUGAAGAAACUAGAUGUUUUCUAUGAUAGGUACAAUAAAAAAAAUAUAGGAAAGUAAUAAAUGUCUACAAAAAUACCACACACACAACAUCUUGUAUAAUUUGAAAUGCAUUUUACUGUACUCUAUUUCCGUAUUAUGUAUAUAUAUUAUGACGUAUAUUUAAUAAAUAUACACUUAUUAUAUAUAUAUUUAAUAAUAUUGAAACAAGAUACGCAAUGGAAUCCAAACAUUAUUGAAACAAACUAACAAGCUCGAAGCGGCUUCCCACAGAGGCAGUCAUUGUAGGCAAACGACGACGCUUCGAGAUGAUCGAACGGAGAGCCCGCCGGUAUGGGCCCACAGAGAUGGUUAUGGCU